rnacentral:lncRNA from 1 species
UGUGACACUCGUCGAUGAAGCUGAGCUGGGCGGCGGCGUCGCUGAUAAGAGCUGACAGAUCCCCCCCCGCAGCCCCCGCCAUGUGCCUCAAUGCUGCCACCCCAAAGUGCAAUGCCCACAGGUGCCGGCAGGGGGCGCUCUAAUAGGGAUAUAAUAGGGAGAUAAUAGGGAUAUAAUGGGGUUCUAUGGGAUAGUGCAAUGCCCACAGGUGCCGGCAGGGGGCGCUCUAAUAGGGAUAUAAUAGGGAUAGAAUGGGGAUAUAAUGGGGUUCUAUGGGGGUAGUGCAAUGCCCACAGGUGCCGGCAGGGGGCGCCCUAAUAGGGAUAUAAUGGGGUUCAAUGGGGGUAGUGCAAUGCCCAUAGGUGCCGGCAGGGGGCGCCCUAAUAGGGAUAUAAUGGGGUUCUAUGGGGUACUGCAAUGCCCUAAUAGGGAUAUAAUGGGGUUCUAUGGGGGUAGUGCAAUGCCCUAAUAGGAUAUAAUGGGGUUCUAUGGGGUAGUGCAAUGCCCUAAUAGGAUAUAAUGGGGUUCUAUGGGGUAGUGCAAUGCCCUGAUAUAAUGGGGUUCUAUGGGGGGAGUGCAAUGCCCUAAUAGGGAUAUAAUGGGGUUCUAUGGGGUAGUGCAAUGCCCACAGGUGCCGGCAGGGGGCGCCCUAAUAGGGAUAUAAUGGGGAUACAAUGGGGUUCUAUGGGACCAGAGUGCAACGCCAACACCUGCCGGCAGGGGGCGCCCUAAUAGGGAUAUAAUAGGGAUAUAAUGGGGUUCUAUGGGGGGACUGCAAUGCCCACAGGUGCCUGCAGGGGGCGCCCUAACAGGGAUAGAAUGGGGUUCUAUGGGGUAGUGCAAUGCCCACAAGUGCCGGCAGGGGGCGCCCUAAUAGGGAUAUAAUAGGGAUAGAAUGGGGUUCUAUGGGGUAGUGCAAUGCCCACAGGUGCCGGCAGGGGGCGCCCUAAUAGGGAUAUAAUAGGGAUAUAAUAGGGAUAUAAUGGGGUUCUAUGGGGGGGGCUGCAUUAAUUGACCCCUAUUAU